AAUAUACUCCCUCCGUUUGGAAUUACUCGUCCAAGAAAUGAAUGUAUCUAGAUGUAUUUUAGUUGUAGAUACAUUCAUUUUUGUGACAAGUAAUUUCGAACGGAGGAAGUAUAGU
rnacentral:pre_miRNA from 1 species